rnacentral:rRNA from 1 species
UACGGAGGGGGCGAGCGUUAUUCGGAAUUAUUGGGCGUAAAGGGCGCGUAGGCGGCCUGGUAAGUCAAAGGUGAAAUCCCUCGGCUCAACUGAGGAACUGCCUUUGAAACUGUCAGGCUUGAGGCCGGGAGGGGGUGGCGGAAUUCCCAGUGUAGCGGUGAAAUGCGUAGAUAUUGGGAGGAACACCAGUGGCGAAGGCGGCCACCUGGACCGGUUCUGACGCUGAUGCGCGAAAGCGUGGGGAG